rnacentral:rRNA from 1 species
AUAAAAUUUAUUUAUUAAUUUUAAAUGUUUUAGAUUUUUUAAUAAAAAUAAUUUUAAAAAUUUGUGUUUUAGUAUUUUAUAAAGAAAAAAUAUUUUUAAUUAUAGUUUAUUAGUAUUGUAAAAGAAAAUUGAAAGAAAAUGAAAAAUUAUUAUUUUAAAAGAAAAUUUAAUUUAUUGUACCUUGUGUAUCAGGGUUUAUUAAAUAAAAAUUUAUUAUAUUAAUAUUUUUCGAAUUUUAAAGAUUUAUUUAAAUAUAAAAGUUAAUGUGGCAUAAUUAUUUUUAAUAUUUAAAUAGAAAUGAAAUGUUAAUCGUUUUAAAAUAUAUCUAGUUUUUUAAGAAAUAAAUUUAAUUUAGCAUUUAAGAUUAAUAAGUUAAUUAUUUAAUUUAUUAAUUUUUAAAUAGAAAUAUUUUAAGGGAUUAGCUUUAAAAUAAAUUGUUAUAUUUUAAAAAAUUGUAUUUAAUAAUUGUAAGCUUAAUAAUAGUUAUCGAAGGAAAGUUUGUUAUACUUUAUUUUAAAAAAUGAAUUAUUUAUUGUAAAAUUAAAUUAUUUAUUAAAAUAUAAAUUUAAAUUAAAAAAAUUUAUUAAUUAUGAUAAAAUUAGUAUAAUAAUUUAUGUAAAUAAAUUUAUUUGAUAGGUUUAUUUAAGGAAUUCGGCAAAUUAUAUAUUCACCUGUUUAACAAAAACAUGUCUUUUUGAAGUAAAUUUAAAGUCUGGCCUGCCCACUGAAUAAUUUAAAGGGCCGCAGUAUUUUGACUGUGCGAAGGUAGCAUAAUCAGUAGUUUUUUAAUUGAAGGCUUGUAUGAAUGGUUGGAUGAGAUAUAUACUGUCUUAACAAAAUUUAAAUAGAAAUUUAUUUUUUAAUAAAAAAGUUAAAAUAUAAUUAAAGGACGAGAAGACCCUAUAGAUCUUUAUUUUAAUUAAUUAUAAUAAAAAAAGAUUUUAAAUUUGUUAUAAUUUAAUAUAAAAUUUUACUGGGGUGGUAUUAAAAUUUAAUUAACUUUUAUUGUAUUUUUACAUUAAUAUAUGAAUAAUUGAUCCAGUUAUAUUGAUUAAAAAUUUAAGUUACCUUAGGGAUAACAGCGUAAUUUUUUUUUAGAGUUCUUAUCGACAAAAAAGAUUGCGACCUCGAUGUUGGAUUAAGAGUUAUUUUUAGGUGUAGAAGUUUAAAGUUUAGGUCUGUUCGACCUUUGAAUUCUUACAUGAUCUGAGUUCAAACCGGCGUGAGCCAGGUUGGUUUCUAUCCUUAAUUAAAAUUUAUAUUAUAGUACGAAAGGACCUAAUAUAAGAAAUAUUAAUUUUUAUUAUAUGAAUUUUAUUAAUUUAU